CAGGCCGGGUCGCCAAAAGAAUACCCCCUAUACCCCUCUGUCCCUGAGAUCUUGGACAAUCCAAAAAAUUGCGGCUGAACUCAUACUCAGGGGCAACCCCUUUCCAGCAACUGAGAACCCAGACCUGGCACUAGCUCCCAAGGGCUGAGCUCCGGCACCUUUUAUUCCACGCAAGAAACCCUGGCUGCUAUUCUGGCCAACCUUCAAAC